UUCACUUAACACGACCGUCUCUCUCUUCUCUCAUUAGCUUCUCUCUCUCACCUCUCAUGAAAACACAAAAACCUUUGCAAGAAAAGGAAAGAAAAACAAAUCCUAAACUUACUUUAAUCUCUCCUAUUAUCCAAAAAAGAUAUAAACCAUAAGUUGAAACCAUAAACAAAAUCUCAUCAAUGAUUUACAAACAUUGAUGAACAACUAACUAUGUUCAUCAACACCAACUAUACAAAUUCUAGUUCGUGAAAAACAUGGAUAACAAGUCUAAAUGAGAUCAUACUUAAACUCAGAAGACAAGUUAGAAAACAAUACAUGCAAAAAGACGUCAGAGCAAGAUCAAGCCAAAUCUACAUUUCAACUCAACUCAAGACCAAGUAGCUAAACAAAUAGAGAUUCAAUAGUUAUGCGCAAAGGAGACAACAAUCACAAUAGUUUAGCAAAAGCGAAACAAAACAGUGAUCAAAAAGAUCUCAUCGGAGUUACAUUUCUAGCGAGACUUUGACGACUACAUCCACCUCAGUCCGUUUGCAGGGAAAGGUCUAAGCUCAAAUGAUUAUGAGUUUCAAUGAGAAAUUAUGAAUGUUUUAGGACUUCGAGCUUUGGUGAAUGGUAUUUUGGGGAAUUGUUUAGCAGAGUAACCGUAGGAAUUUUUUUCUUUCCAAUGAAGAAAAUGAAAGUUGUGUAUAUAUGAUGCAUGUUGAGAGAAUGAUUUAGAUAUUUCUGCUUCUCAUACGUGAAAAAAUCAUUGGGAAUUCUUACCGAGCUAUGUGGAAUCAUUUUAGAAGAAUCAAAUUCAUUAAAGUGGUGAGAGUUCUCCUGAUAUUGUGGGAUUCAAAUGUGGAAUGGAAAGAGGCGUUCCAAGCAUGAGGAGCAAGUUUCAUCAGAUAUUUUCUUCACUAUUUUUUAUUUUUUAUUUUUACUGAAAGUAAUUUUGGAUGUAAUUAAGAUAUAUUGGAAGUAAGCAUUUUUUACUGAUACAA